GGCUUGAUGGUGUAGUGGUAACACAUCCCUUUCAACUAGUCAUAUAAGUGUGCUUCAUGGGAAGUCCCUUGUUCGAACCAAAGUCAGGCCA